rnacentral:misc_RNA from 1 species
AGAAGGAUCAUUAGUGAAGAUUUGGGCAGGCCAUACGGACGCCAAAAAGUGUCCCUGGCCGCCUACACCCACUAUACAUCCACAAACCCGUGUGCACUGUCUUGGAGAAAGGCUUCAGAGAAGUUUUUUGUGGCCUCUCUUGGGGUCUUUCUUCGCUACAAACUCGAAUGGUUAGUAUGAACGUGGAACUUGGUUGGACCGUCACUGGCCAACAAACUAUACACAACUUUCGACAACGGAUCUCUUGGUUCUCCCAUCGAUGAAGAACGCAGCGAAACGCGAUAGGUAAUGUGAAUUGCAGAAUUCCGUGAAUCAUCGAAUCUUUGAACGCACCUUGCGCUCUAUGGCAAUCCGUAGAGCAUGCCUGUUUGAGUGCCAUGAAAUCUCCCACCCCAAGCGGUUUUUGAAUGUGAAACGGCUUGGCGGAUGGGGUCUGGAUGGGUGCCUCUGCCUGUGCUAAACCUUAGCCCACAGGCUCGCCCGAAAUGCAUGAGCGCCUUGGGACACUUUGCAUCCGCCUCUCUUGUGGGAGGAGGCGGCCAAGCAGUGUUUUUCUCCAGGCAUGGCAUGAUACGUCAUUUGCUAUGUCGCCCAAUGGAGGAAUGUUUGGUUGUGUCUGCGUGUGCUUCGAACUUGCCUCUGUGCAAAAUCCCCUUUCACUUCUGGUCUCAAAUCAGGUAGGAUCACCCGCUGAACUUAAGCAUAUCAAUAAGCGGAGGAAAAGAAACUAACAAGGAUUCCCCUAGUAACGGCGAGCGAAGCGGGAAGAGCUCAAAUUUGAAAGCUGGCGUCUUCGGCGUCCGCGUUGUAAUCUCGAGACGUGUUUUCCGUGCGGCUCUAUGGACAAGUCCCUUGGAACAGGGCAUCGUAGAGGGUGAAAAUCCCGUACUUGCCAUGGAAGUACCGUGCUUUGUGAUACACGCUCCAAGAGUCGAGUAGUUUGGGAUUGCUGCUCAAAGUGGGUGGUAGACUCCAUCUAAAGCUAAAUAUCGGGGAGAGACCGAUAGCGAACAAGUACCGUGAGGGAAAGAUGAAAAGCACUUUGGAAAGAGAGUUAAAAGUACGUGAAAUUGUCGAAAGGGAAGCACUUGAAGUCAGCCAUGCUGCUUGAGACUCAGCCUGGCUUUUGCUUGGUGUAUUUCUCGGUAGCAAGCCAGCAUUGGUUUGUGUCGUCGGAGAAGCGUAUGGGGAAUGUGGCAUCCUCGGAUGUGUUAUAGCCCUGUGCAGGAUACGACGACGUAGACCAAGGAACGCAGUGUGCCCUCUGGGCGGGUCUUCGGACACCUUCACACUUAGGAUGCUGGCGUAAUGGCUUUAAGUGGCCCGUCUUGAAACACGGACCAAGGAGUCUAACAUGUAUGCGAGUUUUUGGGUGGCAAACCCAUGAGCGUAAUGAAAGUGAAUGCAGGUGGGAUCCGCAAGGAGCACCAUCGACCGGCCCUGAUGUUCUCGGAUGGGUCUGCGUAAGAGCAUAUAUGUUGGGACCCGAAAGAUGGUGAACUAUGCCUGAAUAGGGCGAAGCCAGAGGAAACUCUGGUGGAGGCUCGUAGCGAUUCUGACGUGCAAAUCGAUCGUCAAAUUUGGGUAUAGGGGCGAAAGACUAAUCGAACCAUCUAGUAGCUGGUUCCUGC